rnacentral:rRNA from 1 species
AGGGCACCCCCAGGAGUGGAGCCUGCGGCUUAAUUUGACUCAACCCGGGAAAACUCACCCGGCCCGGACAUCGUAAGGAUUGACAGAAUGAAAGCUCUUUCUUAAUUCGGUGGGUGGUGGUGCAUGGCCGUUCUUAGUUGGUGGAGUGAUUUGUCUGGUUAAUUCCGGUAACCAACGAAACUCUUGCCUACUAAAUAGAAGGUGAAUCUUCAAUUCCGCCUACUUUUUAAAAGGAACAGGGGGGGUUAACCCCCUGAAAAUGAACCAUUACCAGGCCGUGAAUGCCUUUAAAGGCCCGGGGCUGCCGCCCCGCUACAUUGAGGAAUUCACCUGGCGUUCCCUGUUCGAAAGGAACGGGUAACCAUGCCAAGGUCCUUCGUGAUUGGAAUAGGGAAUUGGUAUUAUUUCCCUUGAACGAAGAAUUCCUAGCAAAUGGGGGUCAUUAUCCCGCGGUGGUUACGUCCCUGCCCGUUGUACACACCGCCCGUCGCUACUACUAUUGGACGUUUCUUGAGUUAU